ensembl:snoRNA LOC120095761 small nucleolar RNA SNORA17
CCAGUCCCUAAAAACAUUGCAGCUGCUAUGACAUCUGUAUGUCAGAAGGUGGCAGACAGGAGAAACAGUGUCUAUACUCAGUAUUCCAACCUCAAAAUAUCUGAAUGAUUAAUAGCUUAACAUU